GCUUUUAUAAAAGAAGGAAGUUCAGACACAGGCUCCAGCAUGGAUGAACCUUGAGAACAUUCUGCUAAAUGGAAAAAGCCGGCAACAAGAAGACAAAUACUGUAGGGACUCCACUCAGGAGAGGUGGAAAUAUGAAUCUGGAGUCAUGAGCCAGAGGCGCUCCCUACUCCCCCUCUGCACGAACUUGGUGGCUCACGCCCAGUCUCUGACCUCUGAACCCACCUUCCACUCUGCCAGGAACAAGGCGGAUAUUAAAACAUAAAAAAGCGCCCAUGCAGGAGACAUUUUGUUCUUUAUGCUGCCCCAUGGCUUCUGAGUCUUGUCUUCAGCCCCAGAACCACAGGCGUUAAUGCAUGCAUAAGCCAAUCCAGCUGAUCUGGCUGGAUCAAGUUGCCUGACUGAUGCGAAGAUGCCUCCUGUCAGAGGUACGGGGGCUCCCCAGGGAGCGGAUCAAGUUGACAGCUGAGCAGUCCACAGCAUUCCAUCUGUCACUCCGCACAGCCCAUCACCUCGACUAUCUUGGUUUAUCUUAUCCCAAGUCGCCCAACCUCACGGUCUGCCCAUCAUAAAGACUUUAUGGGAUUCUAACCUUUUUUGGAUCCUGAACCUCUUCGAGAAGCCAGCGAAAGCUUCCCCGCAAGAGCACACACGCACCUCCGAAUAAUUUUAGAAGGUCCUGGAUCCCUCCCCUCAAGCACAUCCGAGAAACUUCAGUUUGAAGCAGCCCUGUUACGUAGCCCCUAAUUUCUCUUCACACUUGUAAGGCAAACUCCUGAGCCCCAGCUCUAAUGUCUACACCUAACUUGUUUAUGAGCGCCCAUCAGCCACCUAACGCGUUGGUGCCUUCGGAGGUUUGUCUGCACAAGGGCAAAAAUAAGCACGUGCACACGCACACGUCUUGGCAGGAAUGAAAUAGCAAAGCCAAGUCCCAAAUGGCGCGCGCUCAUUUAGCCUCCUGGCCCUUGACGAUACGAAGCCAGUGCUGGGAGUGAAGGCAGGGCCAGCGAUCACACUCACGUCAAGGAGCCAGGAUUGGUCAGCCUUCUUCCAUUCGAAAAGCAGCAGCACCGAAUAAUAAGCCAACAUGCUGGACACUCUCCCACCUCCGUAAGCGAUUGCUAGUAAACACUUACUGCUCCCCAA